UUAUGAAUAAGGAUCGGCUAACUCCGUGCCAGCAGCCGCGGUAAUACGGAGGAUCCGAGCGUUAUCCGGAUUUAUUGGGUUUAAAGGGAGCGUAGAUGGAUGUUUAAGUCAGUUGUGAAAGUUUGCGGCUCAACCGUAAAAUUGCAGUUGAUACUGGAUAUCUUGAGUGCAGUUGAGGCAGGCGGAAUUCGUGGUGUAGCGGUGAAAUGCUUAGAUAUCACGAAGAACUCCGAUUGCGAAGGCAGCCUGCUAAGCUGCAACUGACAUUGAGGCUCGAAAGUGUGGGUAUCAAACAGGAUUAGAUACCCUGGUAGUCCACACGGUAAACGAUGAAUACUCGCUGUUUGCGAUAUACUGCAAGCGGCCAAGCGAAAGCGUUAAGUAUUCCACCUGGGGAGUACGCCGGCAACGGUGAAACUCAAAGGAAUUGACGGGGGCCCGCACAAGCGGAGGAACAUGUGGUUUAAUUCGAUGAUACGCGAGGAACCUUACCCGGGCUUAAAUUGCAGAUGAAUUACGGUGAAAGCCGUAAGCCGCAAGGCAUCUGUGAAGGUGCUGCAUGGUUGUCGUCAGCUCGUGCCGUGAGGUGUCGGCUUAAGUGCCAUAACGAGCGCAACCCUUGUUGUCAGUUACUAACAGGUUCCGCUGAGGACUCUGACAAGACUGCCAUCGUAAGAUGUGAGGAAGGUGGGGAUGACGUCAAAUCAGCACGGCCCUUACGUCCGGGGCUACACACGUGUUACAAUGGGGGGUACAGA
rnacentral:rRNA from 1 species